rnacentral:rRNA from 1 species
CCUACGGGAGGCAGCAGUGAGGAAUAUUGGUCAAUGGGCUUACGCCUGAACCAGCCAAGUCGCGUGAGGGAAGACUGCCCUAUGGGUUGUAAACCUCUUUUGUCAGGGAGCAACGCCGGCUACGUGUAGCCGGACUGAGAGUACCUGAAGAAAAAGCAUCGGCAAACCCCGUGCCAGGGCCCGCGGUAAUAGGGAGGAUGCGACGUUUAUCCGGAUUUAUUGGGUUUAAAGGGUGCGUGGGCGGAAUGCCAAGUCAGCGGUAAGAUCGCGGGGCUCAACCUCGCUCCGCCGUUGAAACUGGCGUUCUUGAGUGGGCGAGAAGUAUGCGGAAUGCGUGGUGUAGCGGUGAAAUGCAUAGAUAUCACGCAGAACUCCGAUUGCGAAGGCAGCAUGCCGGCGCCCAACUGACGCUGAAGCACGAAAGCGUGGGUAUCGAACAGGAUUAGAUACCCUAGUAGUC